rnacentral:lncRNA from 10 species
GAAGGUAUGAUCCAUGGAUCAGGAAACCAGCCUUCCCUAGACAUGGAAUCUGCUGGCACCUUGAUUUUGAACUUCCCAGACUCCAGAACGACUCCUGCCCCUGCCACGAGAACACACCCUUUCCAGUUUGCUGGAGAAAUAUAAGAGAAGUCCAGUGAAAGAGAGCUGAGUUUCCCCAAUGAUGCCAUCAAGAUGAACUAACUACAGUUAACCAGCCAGCUGAUAGCAGAUGCAUGAGUGAGCCCAGCUGAGAGCAAGAUUUUGCCCUACCUGUACUUUGCUGUCAUCUAUGAAAAGAAAAAGUGGGUUAUAUCUUUCCGCUGUUCUGAAGUAUGCAUCAAAUAUGAUAAAGAAAGCAAUAAAACUGAGAAAUAAAGAGAUGCAAGGCUCAGCAUGAUUUGUAUUUGCAACUUUGGAGAAACAAAUUUUUCAAAUUCAUUGAUUGUGUAUUGCAUUGCAAUAACUAGAGCUGUAGAAAGAGUUAAUAUUCUUUGCAUGACAUCUAAAUGUGAAGAAUUUCAGAUACUGAGAAUUCUCUGUAGUUAACAACAUAGGCUCUGGUAACAUAAGGAGCAGGUCAUUUCAACACACACUGGCACACAAGAGCAGAUCUGGAACUAUGAAAGAGAGGAAUCUAGACCCAUCAGGUUGUGCAAGCAUGGCACGUGCAUCUGUUUGGCUUGUGGUGAGGCCUCAGGAAGCUUACAGUCAUGGUGGAAGGCAAAGAGGGAGCCAGUACAUCACGUGAACUCGUAGAGUGAGAACUCAUUCACUACCAUGAAGACAACACCAAGCCAUUCCUGAGGUAUCAGCUCCCAUGACCUGAACAUCUCCCACUAGGCCCACCUCCAACACUGGGGGUCAAACUUCAACAUGAAAUUUGGAGGGGACAAACAUCCACGUCAUAUCAGAUAUCAUUAUUUAACCUACCAUAUCCUUGGAAUUAGGGGUUGAUGUGUUACUGCAGCAUAGUUUAAUGUAUGCUGAGGAAUAUGGAAGCCAUAGUAAGUUAAUACUAAAAUCUCACUGGACAUUAACUAUAGAAGUAUGCCCAAGGUAACUAUUUAGUAGACAUAAUCAGCCUCAACUUUUUGUUGUCUUCAUGAGGCUUUUUCAGAUCAAAGGAUCUGUCAUCUGGCCAUUCAUGAUUUAGGAUCUCCAAAGGUAUACCUGUUCCAAAAUGCGACUCAGAAGUAGUAAGACUUUCUGUGGCUUAACAGUGGGGACACAAGAGGCAUUCCCAGAAAGGGUGCAGAACAUACAGCCCCUGGAAUCUAAGGUCGUUUCUCAAGCCACUUCUAUAAACACCACUUCUAAGUCUCUGUCUUUCUGUGAUGAAACUGCUGAAAAUUAGCAAUGGUGGAUAGAAUGCCAGCAACAAAUGGAAUGCCCGGGCUACCCAGAUUUUUAUCCAGCUAACUACAAAUUCUUGGGAUCCCAAUCUGAUGUUUGGCCAUCUCUUAGCACAGACUUGGCAACCUGUACUCCUGGCAGGCAGAAAACCAGAGAGAGAGAACUCUCUUACUAAAUCCAAGCCAAGCUUUCAAGACACAAAACAAGACAAACAGGGCACAAUGACUAUCCCUGUGAGCAAAAGGAUCUAUGUGCCUACAAUAGUUCCUGGUAUGUAGAAGGUAUACAAUAAAUAUUGGCGGAGUGAAGGAACAAAUGGGAUUUGCUUGAUUCUGCUGCAGAAGACUAAGAAAAAGACAUAAAUGAAUAAAUAACUAGUAGAAUGUUAACACAAUCAGAAAAAGGACCAUUUCUUUUCAUUUGGAUGUCUCAAAUCUAUUUGUUGUUUUUGUUGUUGUUGUUUUUCUGGCUGGGCUUGAAAUGUAGGCAUGCAGCCAGGAGGCUCCAUGCUGACUAAUGAGAUAGAGGUACCCAUUUAGCCCAGCAAUAUUCAUACAUUGUAUAUGCAUUCAUUUUUCUCUAGUGACUUUUUAAUAUAUUUUGGUGAAGAUAUUCCCAAGAUAAUGAAGAUAUGUUGAGUGGGCAUUAAAAGUGAUGAGUCUUUUUUUCCAUUAUCAAAGACAAAUACAGGUGUGUGAUGUAUGCAGAGAAUUAGAAGUAGGGAAAAAAAUGAGGGAAUCCAAAAUAAUGAAAAGAAAUUAAAGCUCUCCAAUAAUCGAAAGAAAGGCCAAACUGAAAACAUAAAUCUCCAGACUCUGCAAGGAUUUAUACUGAUGUGGGGCAUGUGGACCAAUGGCUUUCAGGAUGUGAUUCAUUUUGAAAAAAGUGUCAUUGGUGAAACUGAAAUUGGCUGUAUCAUCUGAAACUUCAUCUGUGAAGUCCCUGGUGGUUUCCUAGAUGACUACACAGUUGAGUUGCCUCUGAUUGGAAAAGCAGUGUUUUGGUUUUUCAGUUUGUACAAGAGGAAGAAGACGCAUGAUAUGUGUUUGGCUCAUGUGCCUGAAUAUGGCUCCACAGGGAAGACUUGAUACAGCUGAAGCUAUUGCUUUUUAGAGACUUUUUAUUUUGAGCAGCUGCCUUAACAGCCUUCGUCUUGUUACAUCACAUGAGAUAUAUCUCUGGAAUAGGAAGAGAAAAAAGACAUGACUGAGCAAUAAUUUUUGACUAAAACUUAAAAUUACAAAACCAAAACCAGAGAUAGAUGUCCCUGAAGUUGUAUUUUUAUAGUAUGUGAGAACACAAUUUUCUUAUCCUAGUUUUAAGGCAUUCCUCUGGACCCAGGAUUUUUGUUUAGUUUCAUUCACAUAAUCAAACUCUUUUUUUUUUUUUUGCCAUAGACUAAUGCAUUUUGGUGUAAUGAUCUGAGCCCUUAUCCAGAAGGCAUCUAAGACUCAUGUACAAAAAUAGAUUUCAGGGCUAAACAUUCUAAAAGACAAUUGAGUGCUUCUUUUUUCUCCGGCCCCUAGAUGUAAAUGAAUAACCUCUGUUCACUAACUCUUAAUGUAAUAUAAGGGAUAAAUUAUGCUUGUUUAUUUAAUUGUGCUUAACCAGAGUACUAGGUUGGAGUCAAACCACAGAUAUAUUUGUGAGAUGUGACAAAAUGUAGCUUUUAGCCCGUAAUACCCAAGUCAUCUGGGAACAUAACUGAUGACAGUGUCAACACCUUUCAGGAAUUCUGGAGGUGCCUUUGAGUUUAGAAAUUCGUAGGUUCUCUAGAAGCAACAGUAGCAUACUAAAUUAACACAUAACAUUUCAAGCUACAUUUACAUAAUUGCAGUGGUUAUGAUUAAUACAAAUUAUAUUAACUGCCUGUUUUACUCCUUAUAGCUGAUUGGCUGAAUUUACCAGUGGGUUUGGUAUGUUCAACAAAUGAUCCAAAUUACCUUUUCAUUUCAGUUAAGAAACUAAUCAAAGCAAAUACACUUUGAUUUGUUGAGAGGCAGAGAUUCUCCCUAAGUGGCAAUGUCCUUGGCCUUCUAAGCUAAAACCUAAAUGGAACUAUAAUAUAUAUUUUGAUGCUUUAUCUCACUUGAGUUUUUUAUUCUUUAACUGAAGGGCAGCCAUGGACCAUAAAUACAUAGAAGAUAAAAAUAUAUUGAGCUUAGGAGUUUGGUCUGUUCAAUGGAUGAGAACUUUAUAUUUUCCCUUAUAAACACAAUUUUCAAAGAAUAGCCUGUAAUAGUCGUGAAAAUGGAAACCAAUACUGGGGAAAUGUGGACUGCAACUCUGAAAAGGUAUCAAAAUGCCCGAUAGUUCAACACAAGGGCUAAGCAAUAUUUCAGGGAUGUGGCCUGUCUUUGGUGGCUCGGUCACUCUAGUGAGAUGAAUUUGGAAAAGGAUAGGCAUACAGAAUCCCCCCUCUGGCAGGGUUUGCCUUUGGGG